UACGUAGGGUGCAAGCGUUGUCCGGAAUUAUUGGGCGUAAAGGGCUCGUAGGCGGUCCAUCGCGUCGGGAGUGAAAAGCUGGGGCUUAACCCCAGUCCUGCUUCCGAUACGGGUGGACUAGAGGUAGGUAGGGGAGAUCGGAAUUCCUGGUGUAGCGGUGAAAUGCGUAGAUAUCGAGAGGAACACCUGCGGCGAAGGCGGGUUGCUGGGCUGACACUGACGCUGAUGCGCGAAAGCUAGGGGAGCGAACGGG
rnacentral:rRNA from 1 species